rnacentral:snRNA from 1 species
GUUGCUUCAGCAGCACACAGAGAUUGGAAAGACCCAGAGAUUAGUAUGGCCACUGCACAAGGAUUUCACGCAAAUUCAUGAAGCAUUCCAUAUUUUU